rnacentral:lncRNA from 1 species
CAGAGGCAGAGCCACAGAGGGGCUGCUCGUCCCCAAAUGUCUCUCCAGCCGCUCUGAAGCUGCUGCAGGCUGCUGUGCUGGUCCAUGGAGAAGGUGGAACACUGGACUAAAGAGACAGGCUGAGGAAGCCCUCAAGUCACCCCUGAUGGAGGCCAGACCUUGAAUGUUACAAUCCCUCUGCUUAUCGACCCUUAAUAAAAAUCUGAGCAGGUCUUCUCUGCAGGACACAGGAGGCUUUCUGGAAAAAAAAACAUGGAAAAGUGAGUCUCCUAAGCGUUCCCAAGUGAUUGAUGCAGGACACGUCUUAAAAGGAUGAAAGGAGGAUGGAGGAAAACUUCAGAAGGAAAUAACAGACAGUUUGAAUGAAAACACCUAUUUUUCAGAAAGUCUGGAAGUGCUCGACCAAGAGAUUGCGAGAUGGAAGCAGAGAGUACAGGAAAGGAAGGAGGAGAAAGAAAGGCUGGAAACCUUUGAAUGUACAAAAAAAACAGGUCAUGAAAGAUACCACGAGCCAACUAAAAUCUCUGGCUGAAAAUGUGCUGGACACCAUGCAGUUGGAAGAUUUCACUAGGGACCGCAGUGAUGAGGGGAACUUGGAAGCAGAGCUAAAGAGGAAAGCAGAAAAUGAAGAAACCACCCCCCUUAAAAAUUAAGUAAAUUUUUUUUAAGUUAUGUGCAUACAUUCUGUAUAUACAGAAAAGAUAUCUAAAUUGUAUGCACGCAGAAGGAGCAUUGCCCCCACAAGGAACAGUUCAUCCUAAAUGGUGCAGAUGAAGAGACUUUGACAAAGGAAGUUUCCUGAGCUGUGGGCAGGGAUGAGAGCUCAGACGAAUGAUGGGAAACCUCCCAGAUGCCAAGGUUUCCCACCCCCGGGUUUCAAGGGAGGAGAGAGGAAGUGAUGUCAUCUGAGCCCAGUGAGGCCCUGUCAAGGGACUAGGGAAAACUGUCCCCACUUUUUGCUCCCAUCCUCUCAUUGACUGCAGGUGCACAGGCAGCUGCCUGAAAGAGGGCCUGCGAAGUGCAAGCCAGAGGAGUUGGCCUCCACGGCACAGAGCAGGCAGAAAACAAAUUUGGAGAAUGACCAGCACUCUUGGGUUUAUUUGACUGAAAGUGCUUGUUUU